rnacentral:rRNA from 1 species
AUUGAACGCUGGCGGCAUGCUUUACACAUGCAAGUCGAACGGCAGCACGGACUUCGGUCUGGUGGCGAGUGGCGAACGGGUGAGUAAUACAUCGGAACGUGCCCAGUUGUGGGGGAUAACUACUCGAAAGAGUAGCUAAUACCGCAUGAGAACUGAGGUUGAAAGCAGGGGAUCGUAAGACCUUGCGCAACUGGAGCGGCCGGUGGCAGUUUAGGUAGUUGGUGGGAUAAAAGCUUACCAAGCCGACGAUCUGUAGCUGGUCUGAGAGGACGACCAGCCACACUGGGACUGAGACACGGCCCAGACUCCUACGGGAGGCAGCAGUGGGGAAUUUUGGACAAUGGGCGAAAGCCUGAUCCAGCAAUGCCGCGUGCAGGAUGAAGGCCUUCGGGUUGUAAACUGCUUUUGUACGGAACGAAAAGCUUCGGGCUAAUACCCUGGAGUCAUGACGGUACCGUAAGAAUAAGCACCGGCUAACUACGUGCCAGCAGCCGCGGUAAUAC